UUGGAGGGCAAGUCUGGUGCCAGCAGCCGCGGUAAUUCCAGCUCCAAUAGCGUAUAUUAAAGUUGUUGCAGUUAAAAAGCUCGUAGUUGAAUUUCGGGAUCAAUGGAUUGGUCAUGCCGUUGGUAUGUACUGAUUUUAUUGAUUCUCACCUUCUAAAGAAUCAUAAUGCCAUUAAUUUGGUGUUGUGAGGAAUUAGGACUGUUACCUUGAAAAAAUUAGAGUGUUUAAAGCAGGCUUACGCUUGAAUACAUUAGCAUGGAAUAACGAAAUAGGACAUCGCAUUCUAUUUUGUUGGUUUCUAGGAUCGAUGUAAUGAUUAAUAGGGAUAGUUGGGGGCAUUAGUAUUCAAUUGUCAGAGGUGAAAUUCUUGGAUUUAUUGAAGACUAACUACUGCGAAAGCAUUUGCCAAGGAUGUUUUCAUUAAUCAAGAACGAAAGUUAGGGGAUCGAAGACGAUCAGAUACCGUCGUAGUCUUGACCAUAAACUAUGCCGACUAGGGAUCGGAUGAUGUUAAUUUUUUAAUGACUCAUUCGGCACCUUACGGGAAAC
rnacentral:rRNA from 1 species